rnacentral:rRNA from 1 species
GUGAGGAAUAUUGCGCAAUGGAGGCAACUCUGACGCAGCCAUGCCGCGUGCAGGAAGAAGGCGCUACGCGUUGUAAACUGCUUUUAACCGGGAAGAAACCCCAGGACGUGUCCUGGGUUGACGGUACCGGAGGAAUAAGCACCGGCUAACUUCGUGCCAGCAGCCGCGGUAAUACGAAGGGUGCAAGCGUUAUCCGGAUUCAUUGGGUUUAAAGGGUGCGUAGGCGGAGCGUUAAGUCAGUGGUGAAAUCCUGCAGCUUAACUGUAGACUGGCCAUUGAUACUGUCGCUCUUGAGUGCGCUUGAAGUGGGCGGAAUGUGCCGUGUAGCGGUGAAAUGCUUAGAUAUGGCACAGAACACCAAUUGCGAAGGCAGCUCACUAAGGCGAUACUGACGCUGAGGCACGAAAGCGUGGGGAUCGAACAGGAUUAGAAACCCUGGUAGUCC